GAAAUUUAUAUUUCAUUUUUUAGAGAAACCAUCCUUGUUAAAGAUGUGACAUUAAUCCCUCCAAACCUACAAAACACAAUUGAUAAGGUAAGUUGCAGAUUAUCUGAGAUAUUUUUAAUUAUCAUCCCAAGAAAUGUAGCAUACAUGUAUUACUCUUCUUUCAUUUAUAUGAUAAUGAAGAUACAUGUAUCUUGUAAUUUGUACAGUUGUAUAUGUAUUUCUGCCAUCUGUCACUGUUAAUUUAAAUGUACAUUAGGGGUCAGUAAAUAAUCAAAACAUGAUACAUGUAUAAAGACUAAUGGUGUGUAUUUUCAUUAAAUAAUACUCAGGUUUUUUUUGUGUUCAGAUUGAUAGCAAUUUUGUUGUCAAUUGUUGUAGUGUCAUUGAUAAAUGAAUGAAAUAAAUGGUUGUACCUAAAAUUAUUUGAAACAUGUCUGAACUUAACUUAUAUAUACAUUUAUACAUUGUAUUAUAACCAAUUUUUAUUUACAUUUGUAUAUCUAUACGUACAUGUACAUGAUCAAUGUAUCAAUAAUGACAAGGAACUUUUUAUUUAAAUUUCAGAGAUGCUAAUUAACCUUGUUAAUGACUGUGGGAGAACUUAUGCUACAUUUACCUAAUACACAGACAAACACAGAUGGGCAUAGGUAAUAAAUAGAGCAGUUUCAUGUUCAUAAGUUAUAUCAUGUAUGUACAUGUAUCCAUGUCUUUACAUGUAUUAGAGUUAUCUAACCUGUUUAAAAGCUGAUAACUACUUAGUUCUAUCAAAAUUGUAGUCUAUUUGUUUCUCUAUUUGUCCAUAAUUUAUCUUAUAAUGGAUAGAGUUUGAAAAUUAAAUCUAUAAAGUUGGAUAAAAUAUUCAUAAUGCUUGCAUUGGUACAAAGCCAUUUUGAAAAUAAGAAGAUGUGGUAUGAUUGCCAAUAUAUGAAAACUCUCCCCAAUACAUGUACUUCACAUGACAUAUAAAGGAACAACUUUAAGUCACCAUACAACCUUACACAAUAAGACAAACCCAUACUACAUAAUCAGCUGUAAAUUUAAACAAUUCAAAGGAGAAGACUAAAUAUAACUACUGAAUUAUUGGUUAUACAGCAUUAAAAUACAACUACUGAAUUACUGGUUCCUGACUUGGGACAGGCACAUACAGAAUAUGGCAGGGAUAAACUAGAUUGAACUUUAUUAAAAAAUUACCCAUUAUCAAACUAAAAAUGCCUAUUACUAAGUGAACUCAGAUUACUCUGCUGUUUACAUAUUUGUUAAACUAUAAUUUGCUUCUUGUAGAAAUUAGCCUGUGAGAUCAAGAUGCAGAUAUAUCCACCAGAUACCAAAUGCCACACCAAAGCAGACAUUUUCAAAUGUUGAGAGACCUAUGAAUACAUCU
rnacentral:lncRNA from 1 species